CCAAUAGCGUAUAUUAAAGUUGUUGCAGUUAAAAAGCUCGUAGUUGAAUUUCGAGAUCAGUACGCUGGUCGUGCCUUUGGUAUGCACUGGUGUCACUGGUUUCUCCCUUCUGAAGAACUGUCAUGCCAUUCAGUUGGUGUGGCGGGGAAUCAGGACUGUUACUUUGAAAAAAUUAGAGUGUUUAAAGCAGGCUCGCGCUUGAAUACAUUAGCAUGGAAUAAUGAAAUAGGACGUUUGACCCUAUUUUGUUGGUUUCUAGGAUCGACGUAAUGAUUAAUAGGGAUAGUUGGGGGCAUUAGUAUUCAAUUGUCAGAGGUGAAAUUCUUGGAUUUAUUGAAGACUAACUACUGCGAAAGCAUUUGCCAAGGAUGUUUUCAUUAAUCAAGAACGAAAGUUAGGGGAUCGAAGACGAUCAGAUACCGUCGUAGUCUUAACCAUAAACUAUGCCGACUAGGGAUCGGAUGAUGUUAAUUUUUUAAUGACUCAUUCGGCGCCUUACGG
rnacentral:rRNA from 1 species